rnacentral:rRNA from 1 species
UAGCCGCACAAUUCUGUGCUAAGGCCGGUAAUCAUUUGUCUUCUAAUUAAAGACUAGAAUGAAAGGUUAAAUGGAUAAAACAUUUUAAUAAUAUAAUAAAAUUAAAUUAAAUUUAUUGUAAGAAUACUAUAAUAAUAUAAAAAGACGACAAGACCCUAAUGAACUUAACUUAUGUUAUACUGGGGAAGUACUUUAAUAAAAAUUUUAAAACCUAAUAUAAAAUAUUAUCUUUUAAAAAAAUACAAAAGUUACCAUACGGAUAACGGCGCACUUUAUUUUUAAAGUUCUUAUUAAGAAAUAAAAUUACCACCUCGAUGUUGAAUUAAUAUAUCAAGGAAAUGCAAAAUUUUACUAGAAAGUCUGUUCGACUUUUAUAAAAUUACAUGAUCUG